CGUUGGAAAAGUCAAAGGCAUUUGAAAUCACGCAACAGUAAAUACUUGGAGAAUCGGGGUUUCAAAAGCCAUAUCUCAAAUGAAAUUGAAUGAGCAUCCACAGGGGAUUUGUGCAAUGUACGAGGCUUAAAUGCGACGAAAGCGGUAGAAGACAUGGCCCCCUGCGCAAUUGAUUUGUGCAAUGUUAUAUUCUACAGAAUGAUUAAAAAUCUUUUGAAAAAGAAGGUAUUCAUGAGUUUGAUUGGAAGUAAUGUCAGAUGCCUAGCUUUAUGCAUACAUAGUCAUGUGCGCAACGGCCUGGUGGCCAUUGGAAGGCGUGGCUGGGCAUGUUAUUAGCCACAUGAUUAAAUUUUUAUCGACGGGGGAGGGAGGAGCUCACCUUAAUGCACGCCGAUAAAGUGGCUGUCACCCCCCUCCGACACCCUGCAAAUCGCUUCAUCUGUUCGUCAAUUGUCUUAUGCACUCUACCUGUUUGAUGAAAUGUCGAGGAGAAAAAACAUGAAAACUUUCAACUAUUUGUCGCUAGAAAACAGAUUUGUCAGAGAUGAUUAGUCAGAUUCUGACGAGGGGCGAUCUUGAAAUUAGGUGGUUAGUGGUUAAUGAUUUGGUUUCUCUUGUUAAAGAUUUGGUGUUUGUUUUACAUUAAUUAAUCAUUAUAAUUGGACUCAUAAUGUGGCUAACAUGCUGAACUUAAGUUGAUUUUUGUGAUGAUAGUACUUGCAUCAUGCUUAAUUAUUGUGCAGUGCUGCAUCUUGUUGAAAAGUAUUGACUUGGGUUUUGAUUGAGUUGAUGAUGGUGCCUGCCUGCUUUGUGAAUUGUGAUUUAGGUUCUCUCUAUCACUUUGUUCUUGCAAGUUGCCAUAGCAAUAUGAUCUGUCUCUUACCUGUCUAAUUAGACCAGAAUUUGUUGCACAUCCUUGUCCAUUGAAGAAAAUUGUUAAGUGAAUUUUCUCAAAACACUCAAUGGCCAAAGUAAACCGAAGAAACUUGUUGCCAUCAA